rnacentral:lncRNA from 1 species
AGUCGGAGUCUGGGAGGAGAGGGGACGUUUCCUAUCGAUCAACAUCCGCAGACAGGUAAUCAGGCCCCAGGCCAGGCGCUGAUCGCCCCGGCUGUGUCCAUCCAUCUCCUUCCUGCGGUGCCGAGACUGGGGCCGGGCCCCGAGCCACAGUGCCCGCCCGUCACGUUCCAUCUGGGCAGCUGGCAUCGGGGGUCUCAGGGCUGCUCCACGGACCGAGCCUCAGGAAGUCCGAGUGAGGGGGGGAGAGAGAGAGAGAGGAGAGAGACCGGAGCAGACAUAGAGCCACUGGACGGCCAGUGCGCGCAGGGCCCCGAGCUCGGAGCCACAGACAGACACAGCGAACAAAACCGACAGAAGGUGGGCAGCGCUGCCAGCAGAGAGAGACCCAGUGCAGGGCGCCGUGCCCUCCUCACGCGGAGUGGAUCUACUUUGGCCAUGAGGGUGAGGACCAUGCAUCCACCUUGUAGGAUUGCUCACUCAGUUCUUGCUGCUCUCUUACCAAAAGUCAAAAGAAUCCUGACAAAUACCUCCUUGUAAGAUGCCAUCUCCUGCAGAGCACUGGUCUAGCCCAGAGCCUCCGUCAAAGGUGACACACAGAGACAAUGCCCCUCCCUCUGCUCCGUCAGACUCACACUGGGCUGGGCUCCUUGGGCCAUUUACUUUCCCUCUCUUAAGACCCUGUUGCAAACGUGCAGAGCAUGGCUCCUUCCUGACGAUCCUCCUGACUGUGCGCAGAUGACGCCAUCCUCUCACUGCUGUGCUCUCAGGCCCCAGUGACGCCACAUAAAGAGCCUUCGACAGCCAGUAGUGAUUCCAGAAGCAACAAGAGUGCACCCUCCCCUUUCUCCAGAGCCUUCCACAUACCAUCACCACUAAUUGAAAUACCACCCUUACAGUGUCAUCUUGAAUUUCCUGAU